AACGAACGCUGGCGGCAUGCCUAAUACAUGCAAGUCGAACGAGACCUUCGGGUCUAGUGGCGCACGGGUGCGUAACGCGUGGGAAUCUGCCCUUGGGUUCGGAAUAACGUCGGGAAACUGACGCUAAUACCGGAUGAUGACGUAAGUCCAAAGAUUUAUCGCCCAGGGAUGAGCCCGCGUAGGAUUAGCUAGUUGGUGAG
rnacentral:rRNA from 1 species